GCGCUCGAACUUGACUUGAGAGCGCGAGAGAGAGAACGACCGCAGCAGGUGCGCGAGGGAUUCCGCGCCUUCAUUUAGCGAUGCAGGCAUGGUAAAUAAAGCAGUUUAUUGAACUAAUCAUGUCUUGACAGCAGCCACGGGCUUGUUUUGAACCACUAAAGUUGCAUUUGUUUACUGGAAAACGCAAUGCCGUCGCAGGACGAGGCUGAGGCGGUAAAUGAAGACGACUGUCCGCCUCCAGUUCCGCCGCGAGCGAAUCUUCAGCAAAAUUCACCUGAGCCCCGGGUCAAGUGUGUGCUGGUCGGGGAUGCAGCGGUGGGUAAAACGAGCCUGAUCAUCAGCUACACCACUAACGGAUAUCCGGCGGAACACAUUCCCACCGCCUUUGACAACUUCACAGCUAGGGUUGUGGUGGAUGGAAGACCAGUUCAACUUCAACUGUGUGACAUGGCAGGACAGAGAUGGGGGGCAGCGGAUCAGCCUCUAUAUGACGAGUUUGAGCGCCUCCGUCCACUCUGUUACCGUGACGCUGCCGUCUUCCUGCUCUGCUACAGUGUGGUCCUUCCAUCCUCUUUCAGGAGCAUGAUGGACCGCUGGGCCCCUGAGGUUCAUCGGCUCUGUCCGGGAGUUCCCAUCAUCCUCGUGGGCACCCAGUGUGACUUGCGGGAGGAUGUCCAGGUGCUGAUCCGACUCGCAGACGGCCAGGAGAAACCGGUGAGCAGAGACGAGGCCCGCCUGUGCGCCCGGAGCAUCGGCGCCGUGACGUUUGCUGAAUGCUCAGCACUGACGCAGAAGAACCUGAAGGAAGUGUUCGACGGUGCCAUCUUGGCCAGCAUGUGGCACGCGGAGGAGGCGGCGUGGCCGACGAUGCACACGCUAAGAGACAAAACUCCAGAUAAAAUCAAACAGCUCUCGGAAACAUGGUGGAGGAAACUGAGCUGCGUCCAGAGCUUUGACCUUCAGUGAUGGAGAAUCCAGUUACGCCACACAGCAGUGGAUUAGCUGAUCCUGUGAACAGACUGAAGAUCAGGACUGAAGGAGAGGGAUUUGAUGUCUGAGUUACACCUGCUGUACUCCUGUAUAGUGUCAUUACCAAACUCUUCAGCGUGCAGAUCGGCUCCUGUGCCGCUGCAGAUCCUGUAAUGGGUCGAGACAGAAGCCACCUGUGGGAAUUAGGUGGGCAGAUGGCGACUGGUUUUCCCCUCACAGUAUCUCUUGACCUCAACCCCCACCUGCUGCGGAAAUCAUGCAGGAAUAACAUCAGAACAACAGGCCUUGAGAGCUGUUCAGUUCACCCCACUGAACCAGGGUGAUUUUAUCAGUAGGACUCACUGAAGCGUAGUCUGUAUGUUUCUGAUAAUUCAUUUAAUAACUGGUAUUCGGGGCUGGGGGGAUGACAUGUCUUAAUGAGUGUGAGUUGCAUAUUUUUCAGCAGCCAUGAUUGGAAACAAUAUUUUGUCACUUGUCAAUAGUUAAAUCUAAGGAUUUAAAGGUGCUGUAUGUAGGAUUGACACCGAGUGGUUGAACUAG